UACGAAGGGAGCUAGCGUUGUUCGGAAUCACUGGGCGUAAAGCGCACGUAGGCGGCUGUGUCAGUCAGAGGUGAAAUCCCGGAGCUCAACUUCGGAACUGCCUUUGAUACAGCACGUCUUGAGUCCGAUAGAGGUGGGUGGAAUUCCUAGUGUAGAGGUGAAAUUCGUAGAUAUUAGGAAGAACACCGGUGGCGAAGGCGGCCCACUGGAUCGGUACUGACGCUGAGGUGCGAAAGCGUGGGGAGCAAACAGG
rnacentral:rRNA from 1 species